CCAAAAACUAAACGUCUCAGUUCGGACUGUGGUCUGCAACCCGACCACACAAGCUGGAAUCGCUAGUAAUCGCGAAUCAGAAUGUCGCGGUGAAUACGUUCCCGGGUCUUGUACACACCGCCCGUCACACCAUGGGAGUCAGCAACGCCCGAAGUCAGUGACCUAACCGAAAGGAAGGAGCUGCCGAAGGCGGGGCCGGUAACUGGGGUGAAGUCGUAACAAGGUAUC
rnacentral:rRNA from 1 species